AGUGAACGCUGGCGGUAGGCCUAACACAUGCAAGUCGAACGGCAGCACAGUAAGAGCUUGCUCUUACGGGUGGCGAGUGGCGGACGGGUGGAAUACAUCGGAAUCUACUUUUUCGUGGGGGAUAACGUAGGGAAACUUACGCUAAUACCGCAUACGACCUACGGGUGAAAGCAGGGGAUCUUCGGACCUUGCGCGAUUGAAUGAGCCGAUGUCGGAUUAGCUAGUUGGCGGGGUAAAGGCCCACCAAGGCGACGAUCCGUAGCUGGUCUGAGAGGAUGAUCAGCCACACUGGAACUGAGACACGGUCCAGACUCCUACGGGAGGCAGCAGUGGGGAAUAUUGGACAAUGGGCGCAAGCCUGAUCCAGCCAUACCGCGUGGGUGAAGAAGGCCUUCGGGUUGUAAAGCCCUUUUGUUGGGAAAGAAAAGCAGCAGGUUAAUACCCCGCUGUUCUGACGGUACCCAAAGAAUAAGCACCGGCUAACUUCGUG
rnacentral:rRNA from 1 species